rnacentral:lncRNA from 1 species
GAAAUUCUACAUGUCGUCCUUGUGGUCCAGUUUCUGAGCCAGUGCUUGUACUUAUCUUUCCCUAAAGACGCAAAAGCCAGUGAAAAACUGAAGCCACCUUUAUGCAAGUUCUUUUGUGUACGAGUCUCUAGUUUUUAAGAAUCAAUACGAAAAAGGGCUCAAAUAUUUUAAAGAAUAUUCUACACCGACAAACUCUCUCUGGAUAAAUAUUUAAGGUUCAGAUAAAUUGACAUUCUGCCUAAAACUUUGUAAAUUUCAUGAUACAACCCCAAAAAAAUAAUUGGACAACAUUUUAUCUCGUGUAAUUUUAUAAGAUGCUCAUAAAUUAUCUUGACCACGUCUACUUUUUUGCAUUUUUGACAUGUUUAGCCAAUUGAAAUAUUGAAUUUUACAAUAAUCAACAGCACCAGAUGGUGGGGGGGGGGGGCUGGCUUUUAAAGUACCCUACUUGGAAUGUAACAUUAUAAAUAGGCGGGUAUGGAUUGAAGUACACACACAUCUGGUGCACAAUACGAAACCAAGGUAGAUUUGGCAGGGAAAAAUGGAGUCGAACUGCAAGCGCAUAGGUUUCGUCAAAGCAAAGAUGAUUAAGUCUUUGUAUCCAACAAAGAAGACGACUCCGGCAAGGGAACAAGUUUUUCCUCAGCAGAAGCAUCAAAUAAGGCAGAAGUCUCCGCCCCCAGCCGACUCUGUGGGUUUCAUCGUCAACCCAGAACAAGUAUUUUCUCAACGUAUGCAUCAAACAAAGCAGGCUGCUCCACCUUCGGUAGGCUUCAUCGUGAACCAAGAGCA